UUAACUUAUUAUAAAGACUCAGACGACAUUUUUGAAGUUUACCUCCGGCCUUGCGGCCGAAGCAACAGGAGGGUACACAUGGGUUGGAGUUCGACCUAAGUCAAUCUCUGUAAUGAUCCUUCCGCAGGUUCACCUACGGAAA
rnacentral:misc_RNA from 1 species